AACGGCCAUACCAUGCUGAAUAUACCGGUUCUCGUUAGAUCACCGAAGUCAAGCAUCAUUGGGCGUGGUCAGUACUUGGGUGGGUGACCACCUGGGAACACCGCGUGCCGUU